GACGAGUCCUUUACUGACGCUAAAGCUCGAAGGUGCGGGUAUCGAACAGGAUUAGAUACCCUGGUAGUCCGCACGGUAAACGAUGGAUGCCCGCUGUUUGCGAUAUAUUGUAAGCGGCCAAGCGAAAGCGUUAAGCAUCCCACCUGGGGAGUACGCCGGCAACGGUGAAACUCAAAGGAAUUGACGGGGGCCCGCACAAGCGGAGGAACAUGUGGUUUAAUUCGAUGAUACGCGAGGAACCUUACCCGGGCUUGAACUGCAGGAGAACGAUCCAGAGAUGGUGAGGCCCUUCGGGGCUCCUGUGGAGGUGCUGCAUGGUUGUCGUCAGCUCGUGCCGUGAGGUGUCGGCUUAAGUGCCAUAACGAGCGCAACCCCUUUCGCCAGUUGCCAUCAGGUGAUGCUGGGCACUCCGGCGACACUGCCACCGUAAGGUGUGAGGAAGGUGGGGAUGACGUCAAAUCAGCACGGCCCUUACGUCCGGGGCUACACACGUGUUACAAUGGGUGGUACAGAGAGCAGGGUGCACGCAAGUUCACCCGAAUCACGAAAGCCAUCCUCAGUUCGGAUUGGGGUCUGCAACCCGACCCCAUGAAGCUGGAUU
rnacentral:rRNA from 1 species